GUCCUUAGUUACCAGCACGUUAUGGUGGGCGACUCUAAGGAGGACGUGCCGGUGGACAAACCGGAGGAAGGUGGGGAUGACGUCAAGUCAUCAUGGCCCUUACGGCCUGGGCUACACACGUGCUACAAUGGUCGGUACAAAGGGUUGCCAAGCCGCGAGGUGGAGCUAAUCCCAUAAAACCGAUCGUAGUCCGGAUCGCAGUCUGCAACUCGACUGCGUGAAGCCGGAAUCGCUAGUAAUCGUGAAUCAGAAUGUCACGGUGAAUACGUUCCCGGGCCUU
rnacentral:rRNA from 1 species